AGGCUUCUAGAUGGUGUUAAAGAAGGGGAUCUUCGGACCUUUCGGUUAAAGGGGAGUCUAUGUGAUAUCAACUAGUUGGUGGGGUAAAGGCCUACCAAGNCUAUGACGUCUAGGCGGAUUGAGAGAUUGACCGCCAACACUGGGACUGACACACUGCCCAGACUCCUACGGGAGGCUGCAGUCGAGAAUCUUUCGCAAUGGACGGAAGUCUGACGAAGCGACGCCGCGUGUGUGAUGAAGGCUCUAGGGUUGUAAAGCACUUUCGCUUGGGAAUAAGAGAAGGCGGUUAAUACCCGCCGGAUUUGAGCGUACCAGGUAAAGAAGCACCGGCUAACUCCGUGCCAGCAGCUGCGGUAAUACGGAGGGUGCUAGCGUUAAUCGGAUUUAUUGGGCGUAAAGGGCGUGUAGGCGGAAGAGUAAGUCAGUUGUCAAAUCUCGGGGCUCAACCCCGAAUCGGCAUCUGAUACUAUUUUUCUAGAGGGUAGAUGGAGAAAAGGGAAUUUCACGUGUAGCGGUGAAAUGCGUAGAUAUGUGGAAGAACACCAGUGGCGAAGGCGCUUUUCUAAUUUACACCUGACGCUAAGGCGCGAAAGCAAGGGGAGCAAACAGGAUUAGAUACCCUGGUAGUCCUUGCCGUAAACGAUGCAUACUUGAUGUGGAUGGUCUCAACCCCAUCCGUGUCGGAGCUAACGCGUUAAGUAUGCCGCCUGAGGAGUACACUCGCAAGGGUGAAACUCAAAAGAAUUGACGGGGGCCCGCACAAGCAGUGGAGCAUGUGGUUUAAUUCGAUGCAACGCGAAGGACCUUACCUGGGUUUGACAUGCAUAUGACCGCGGCAGAAAUGUCGUUUUCCGCAAGGACAUAUGCACAGGUGCUGCAUGGCUGUCGUCAGCUCGUGCCGUGAGGUGUUGGGUUAAGUCCCGCAACGAGCGCAACCCUUAUCGUUAGUUGCCAGCACUUAGGGUGGGAACUCUAACGAGACUGCCUGGGUUAACCAGGAGGAAGGCGAGGAUGACGUCAAGUCAGCAUGGCCCUUAUGCCCAGGGCGACACACGUGCUACAAUGGCCAGUACAGAAGGUAGCAAGAUCGUGAGAUGGAGCAAAUCCUUAAAGCUGGCCCCAGUUCGGAUUGUAGUCUGCAACUCGACUACAUGAAGUCGGAAUUGCUAGUAAUGGCGUGUCAGCCAUAACGCCGUGAAUACGUUCCCGGGCCUUGUACACACCGCCCGUCACAUCA
rnacentral:rRNA from 1 species